rnacentral:tRNA from 1 species
GCCUGGGUGGCUCAGUCGGUUGGGCGGCUGACUUCAGCUCAGGUCGUGAUCUCUCCAUUUGUGAGUUCAAGCCCCACAUUGGGCU